rnacentral:rRNA from 1 species
GGUGAACGCUGGCGGCGUGCCUAAGACAUGCAAGUCGUGCGGGCCAUGGGGUUUUACUCCGUGGUCAGCGGCGGACGGGUGAGUAACGCGUAGGCAACCUGCCCCAUACAAAGGGAUAGCAUUUGGAAACGAAUAUUAAUACCUUAUGAAACUUAACUAGUGCAUGCUAGGUAGGUCAAAGAUUUAUCGGUAUGGGAUGGGCCUGCGUCUGAUUAGCUAGUUGGUGAGGUAACGGCUCACCAAGGCGACGAUCAGUAGCCGACCUGAGAGGGUGAACGGCCACAUUGGAACUGAGACACGGUCCAAACUCCUACGGGAGGCAGCAGUGGGGAAUAUUGCACAAUGGGGGAAACCCUGAUGCAGCAACGCCGCGUGAACGAUGAAGGCCUUUGGGUCGUAAAGUUCUGUUCUAGGUGAUGAAAACUGACAGUAACCUAGGAGAAAGCCCCGGCUAACUCCGUG